rnacentral:rRNA from 1 species
AUGUCACCAAGUACCACGACAAACCGUGAAGUUCCACAAAUACUAAGUACUGCUACCCUCGACCUGAACGUCUACGAACGGUGCACGACGCCCGGAGCCCUCAGAUCCAUCAAGUUCGAUUACCUUCGUGUGUACCACUACCGUCGCCCUGAAGACGUUGGAGUCAUCAAGUACCUCUCCGAACUAACGUGA